rnacentral:tRNA from 24 species
CUCAGUUGGUAGAGCAGAGGACUGAAAAUCCUCGUGU